AACGAACGCUGGCGGCAGGCUUAACACAUGCAAGUCGAACGCCCCGCAAGGGGAGUGGCAGACGGGUGAGUAACGCGUGGGAAUCUACCCAUCUCUGCGGAAUAGCUCCGGGAAACUGGAAUUAAUACCGCAUACGCCCUACGGGGGCAAGAUUUAUCGGGGAUGGAUGAGCCCGCGUUGGAUUAGCUAGUUGGUGGGGUAAAGGCCUACCAAGGCGACGAUCCAUAGCUGGUCUGAGAGGAUGAUCAGCCACAUUGGGACUGAGACACGGCCCAAACUCCUACGGGAGGCAGCAGUGGGGAAGAUUGGACAAUUGGCGCAAGCCUGAUCCAGCCAUGCCGCGUGAGUGAUGAAGGCCUUAGGGUUGUAAAGCUCUUUCACCGGUGAAGAUAAUGACGGUAACCGGAGAAGAAGCCCCGGCUAACUUCGUGCCAGCCGCCGCAGUAA
rnacentral:rRNA from 1 species